rnacentral:rRNA from 1 species
GAGAGUCCGUGGUCGGCGCACCGCUGCAUCAGUAGUGGUGUGUUACCUAACCGGGGGAGACCCUUUGUUCAUGAGCACCGUACGUUUCCUCGGCAGGCCCGCCUGCCAACGGGGACCCAAACCAAACCCUAAUUGCAGUUGCAGUCUUUGUCUGAAUCAAACCCUUUUUAAAAACUUUCAACAACGGAUCUCUUGGCUCUGGCAUCGAUGAAGAACGCAGCGAAAUGCGAUAAGUAGUGUGAAUUGCAGAAUUCAGUGAAUCAUCGAAUCUUUGAACGCACAUUGCGCCCAUUGGCAUUCCUUUGGGCAUGCCUGUUCGAGCGUCAUUUCAAACCUUCAAGCGCAGCUUGGUGUUGGGCGCCUGUCCCUUGGCCACCCGGGGACUCGCCUUGAAAACAUUGGCGGCAGACAGCCGGCCCUGAGCGCAGCAGAGCACGCGCCUCGGGGCCCCGCGAGUCCGCAAGCCAGGAGCCUUCUCCACCAGUUUGACCUCGGAUCAGGUAGGGAUACCCGCUGAACUUAAGCAUAUCA